UCCAAAUACUUACCUGUUAGGGGUGUGCUUGCUGAAAACUCAUUGUUAAUUAACUUGGUGCAAAAAAUGAAGAAUGGUGAGAAGAUAAAAGAGACCUUUACACAAAGGGAUCUGAGUACUUAUUUUAGAAGAUCCCUUUUAUGUGGACUGUCUUCUCCCAGCACUCCAGGAAGUGUGUGCUAAGCUCAAUGGGCUAGCCUUGCCCUCCCAGCUGCAAACCUCCUUAAUGCCAAGUUACAGAGAAAGGACAUAGAGGAGUUAAACCUGCCGAUUACAGAUCAAGGUCAAAAACCCUGCCAGCUUCCCCUUCUCAAAGCUAUUGCCGUGGUUGCCUACUGAUACCCUGCCUCAAAGCCUCCUCCCCACAAAGCGCCCCCGCACACCAUUAGGCUAAUUGGCCUAAGCCAGAGCUCCGACACAAGAGCCACCCUUCAGGGGCUUCUGCCCCAAAGCCCUUGUGUUAGACCCUAGACUCCCUAGCAUUAGAACAAACCCUCAUUUCUCCUCUUGGCCUCUGGUAAUGGAGGGAUUGGUACAGUUUCUACGAUCAGUUUUAGCCAAACUACCUUUCCAGGCCUUCCAGGCUUCACAUUCCCUGUUCCGAUCUAUGCUCCGAGUGUCCUUGCCAGCCACAGACACCUCACAGUCCACACCUCGUGUCCUUGGACGCUCACAGUUCCCCACCUCCGUGUCUUUGCACAGGCUAUGUCUGCUGCCUGGAAUGCUCUCCUUACCAUCUCUGCCUCAGAAGAUCGACCUUGUCUGAAAUGCCUCCUCCUUUAGGAACCUUCUCAGAUCGUUUCUCCUCACCUCUCCCUCCCGUGGGACUUUAUUUGUAUUUUCCUAUACAGCUAAUAAUGUUUAUGUUGUAGUUGUCUGUGCUCUCGUCUUACCUGUCUCCCUAGUCCUGUGCUGUCCAAUGAGGUAGCUCCUAGUCCCAUGUGGCUAUAUAAUUUAAUUAAAAUGAAAUAAAGUUAAAAAUCCCAUUCCUCAGUUUCACUGGCCAUGUUCCAGGGGCUCCAUAGCCCUUGCAGCUGCUGGGAACUAUACUGGGAAGCACAGAGAGAGAACGUUACUGCCAUAGCCGGAAGUUCUAUUGGACAACGCUGGGACUGCAUAUCAUUCACUCCCUCUUAUGUUUAUUGAAUAAAAAUUAGUUGCAUUGAA